AGUAACGGCGAGUGAAGCGGCAACAGCUCAAAUUUGAAAUCUGGCCCUUGUGGUCCGAGUUGUAAUUUGUAGAGGAUGCUUUUGGUGAGGUACCUUCCGAGUUCCCUGGAACGGGACGCCAUAGAGGGUGAGAGCCCCGUCUGGUUGGAUACCGAUCCUCUGUAAAGCUCCUUCGACGAGUCGAGUAGUUUGGGAAUGCUGCUCUAAAUGGGAGGUAUAUGUCUUCUAAAGCUAAAUAUUGGCCAGAGACCGAUAGCGCACAAGUAGAGUGAUCGAAAGAUGAAAAGCACUUUGAAAAGAGGGUUAAAUAGUACGUGAAAUUGUUGAAAGGGAAGCGCUUGUGACCAGACUUGGGCUUGGUUAAUCAUCCAGGGUUCUCCCUGGUGCACUUGGCCAGCCCAGGCCAGCAUCAGUUUGUCGCGGGGGAUAAAGGCGUUGGGAAUGUGGCUCCCUCGGGAGUGUUAUAGCCCUUCGUGUAAUACCCUGCUUUAGACUGAGGUUCGCGCAUCUGCAAGGAUGCUGGCGUAAUGGUCAUCAGCGACCCGUCUUGAAACACGGACCAAGGAGUCGUCUUCGUAUGCGAGUGUUCGGGUGUCAAACCCCUACGCGUAAUGAAAGUGAACGCAGGUGAGAGCUUCGGCGCAUCAUCGACCGAUCCUGAUGUUCU
rnacentral:rRNA from 1 species